rnacentral:lncRNA from 1 species
CUGCGUGGCCUAGGAAGGCAUUGCUGCGAGAGCUGUGAUGGACACUAACACUGCUUUGCAAGAGGUGCUGGAGAGCGCCUUCAUCCAUGAGGGCCUGGCGUGUGGGAUUCGUGGUGGCGCCAAAGUCUGAAACAAGGGCCAAGCCCAUCUUUGUGCUCUUGCAAGCAAAUGUGAUGAGCCUAUACGUAUGUCAAAUUGGUGAAGGUUCUUGUGAUGAACACCAAAUCAACCUGUUAAGGCUGAUGACAACAUGAUACUAGGGAAAUGGUUGGGUAUCUGUGAAUCUCACAGGGGAAAACAUGUAAAGUGGUUGGUUGCAGUUGUGUGAUAGUUAAGGUCUAUGAUAAAGAAUCUCAGGCCACGCAUGUCAUCAAAGACUACUUCAAAUCCAAAAAAAAUGA